CAUAGACGGCUUCUAAUGGUAGAUCUAAUUUGAUCCUCUUCUUACAUUGCCUCAGAUGCUUUCAAUGUUGAAGAUGGAUUAGAGAAGGUGUUGGAUGGUAGAAUAAAAGUUAGAGGAGAAAUCUCUUCUCACUAUUAUUUUUUUCUCAUUCGAAAACCCUAGAACAAUUCUUGGUCUCUCACCUGAAGAGGAGUUGGAUCUCCUCCAAUGCUCGUGCCAAGAUGAAUAGAGCCCACCC
rnacentral:lncRNA from 1 species